CUUUCUGGGGUUUGGUGCUCACAGCAUUGUGUUCACUAGAGAUCCUUCCAAAGUAUCACUUAUUGAAGCCUAUGUAGGCCUGUUCCCACAGGCUUGGUCCCGCGACUCUAAAUAUUUGGGUUACCAUGCAAGUCAUAUAUGGCAACAUAAUCGAAUUGCGGGGAUCUCCUAAGGUCAUCUAGUACCAACUACCUCCCCUGAGGUAGGGCCUGUUUGCAGGGUGGUCAUAACCUAGAUGGAUAUUACAAUGGAUUAUCCGCAGCGAAGCUUUUGCAUUUUGUAGAAGACCGUUCACAGACUAAGUGAUUAUGGGCAGUGUAGCUGUCUAAGAUAUAGUCGGUCUCGAUGAGAAAUCACCGAGGAUUGAGUUACCACAGGGCUCAAGAAUAUGAAAUGUCACUGAAAUAGACUCUGGCAUCCGGUUCUCGGCCUUGUGACUCACAACCACCGGUGCAAAAGUGACUACUAUCAUUCAAUCGUGAUAAAUUGUAUUCUUGAAUUCUAUGGGCUUGAAAUACGUUCCGUAGGUGAACCUGCGGAAGGAUCAUUAUCAGGUUGAAGGAGCGCCGGUGUAAAAGCCGGCGUCUACCGAACCCGUGUCUAUAUACUCUUGUUGCUUUGGCGGGCCGUGGGAGACCACUGCAGGCUUCGGUCUGCAAGCGCCCGCCAGAGGACCAAACUCUGAACGUUAGUGAUGUCUGAGUACUAUAUAAUAGUUAAAACUUUCAACAACGGAUCUCUUGGUUCUGGCAUCGAUGAAGAACGCAGCGAAAUGCGAUAAGUAAUGUGAAUUGCAGAAUUCAGUGAAUCAUCGAAUCUUUGAACGCACAUUGCGCCCCGUGGUAUUCCGCGGGGCAUGCCUGUUCGAGCGUCAUUAUAACCACUCAAGCCCGGCUUGGUAUUGGGGC
rnacentral:misc_RNA from 1 species